rnacentral:rRNA from 1 species
CAAUAACAGGUCUGUGAUGCCCUUAGAUGUUCUGGGCCGCACGCGCGCUACACUGACGCGAUCAACGAGCCUAGCCUUGGCCGAGAGGUCCGGGUAAUCUUGCAAACCGCAUCGUGAUGGGGAUAGAUUAUUGCAAUUAUUAAUCUUCAACGAGGAAUGCCUAGUAAGCGCGAGUCAUCAGCUCGCGUUGAUUACGUCCCUGCCCUUUGUACACACCGCCCGUCGCUCCUACCGAUUGGGUGUGCUGGUGAAGCGUUCAGAUUGGUGGCUCCAAGCGGUUCGCCGCCGGGGGCAACCGAGAAGUUCGUUAAACCCUCCCACCUAGAGGAAGGAGAAGUCGUAACAAGGUUUCCGUAGGUGAACCUGCGGAAGGAUC